rnacentral:rRNA from 1 species
GACGUAGGGCGCGAGCGUUGUCCGGAUUUAUUGGGCGUAAAGAGCUCGUAGGCGGCUUGUUGCGUCGGCUGUGAAAACCCAUGGCUCAACCGUGGGCUUGCAGCCGAUACGGGCAGACUUGAGUACUGCAGGGGAGACUGGAAUUCCUGGUGUAGCGGUGGAAUGCGCAGAUAUCAGGAGGGACACCGGUGGCGAAGGCGGGUCUCUGGGCAGUAACUGACGCUGAGGAGCGAAAGCGUGGGGAGCGAACAGG